rnacentral:rRNA from 1 species
CGUUGCCUACGGGGGGCAGCAGUGGGGAAUAUUGCACAAUGGGGGAAACCCUGAUGCAGCGACGCCGCGUGAAGGAAUAAGUAUUUCGGUAUGUAAACUUCUAUCAGCAGGGAAGAAAAUGACGGUACCUGACUAAGAAGCCCCGGCUAACUACGUGCCAGCAGCCGCGGUAAUACGUAGGGGGCAAGCGUUAUCCGGAUUUACUGGGCGUAAAGGGAGCGUAGGCGGCCUGCCAAGUCUGAUGUGAAAUACCGGGGCUCAACCCCGGGGCUGCAUUGGAAACUGGCAGGCUGGAGUGCCGGAGA